rnacentral:rRNA from 1 species
GACGAACGCUGGCGGCGUGCCUAAUACAUGCAAGUUGAGCGCUGAAGGUUGGUACUUGUACCGACUGGAUGAGCAGCGAACGGGUGAGUAACGCGUGGGGAAUCUGCCUUUGAGCGGGGGACAACAUUUGGAAACGAAUGCUAAUACCGCAUAAAAACUUUAAACACAAGUUUUAAGUUUGAAAGAUGCAAUUGCAUCACUCAAAGAUGAUCCCGCGUUGUAUUAGCUAGUUGGUGAGGUAAAGGCUCACCAAGGCGAUGAUACAUAGCCGACCUGAGAGGGUGAUCGGCCACAUUGGGACUGAGACAAGGCCCAAACUCCUACGGGAGGCAGCAGUAGGGAAUCUUCGGCAAUGGACGAAAGUCUGACCGAGCAACGCCGCGUGAGUGAAGAAGGUUUUCGGACCGUAAAACUCUGUUGGUAGAGAAGAACGUUGGUGAGAGUGGAAAGCUCAUCAAGUGACGGUAACUACCCAGAAAGGGACGGCUAACUACGUG